rnacentral:rRNA from 1 species
GACGAACGCUGGCGGCGUGCCUAAUACAUGCCAGUUGAGCGCUGAAGGUUGGUACUUGUACCGACUGGAUGAGCAGCGAACGGGUGAGUAACGCGUGGGGAAUCUGCCUUUGAGCGGGGGACAACAUUUGGAAACGAAUGCUAAUACCGCAUAAAAACUUUAAACACAAGUUUUAAGUUUGAAAGAUGCAAUUGCAUCACUCAAAGAUGACCCCGCGUUGUAUUAGCUAGUUGGUGAGGUAAAGGCUCACCAAGGCGAUGAUACAUAGCCGACCUGAGAGGGUGAUCGGCCACAUUGGGACUGAGACACGGCCCAAACUCCUACGGGAGGCAGCAGUAGGGAAUCUUCGGCAAUGGACGCAAGUCUGACCGAGCAACGCCGCGUGAGUGAAGAAGGUUUUCGGAUCGUAAAACUCUGUUGGUAGAGAAGAACGUUGGUGAGAGUGGAAAGCUCAUCAAGUGACGGUAACUACCCAGAAAGGGACGGCUAACUACGUG